rnacentral:tRNA from 1 species
UGGGGAUUAGCUCAGCUGGCUAGAGCGCCUGCCUUGCACGCAGGAGGUCAUCGGUUCGACUCCGAUAUUCUCCACUA